GUUUCCCUGUCCUUUUCUCCUCAGUUAGAAAGCAGCUGCUUUUUUGUUUUUGGAGACUCAAGUAACGCAUUUUGCUAUUGUUGUAGGUAGGAAGCUGACUGAGUCCGAGCGAGUGACCCCCCUCAAAGUCUACAACUGGUUUGCCAAUCGCAGGAAGGAGAUCAAGAGGAGGGCAAAUAUUGAAGCAGCAAUCCUAGAAACUCAUGGCAUCGAUGUGCAAAGCCCAGGUGGACAUUCCAAUAGUGACGAUAUCGAUGGGAGUGAUUUCCUGGAGCAGGAUGACAACACGAGCCACAGCGAUCCCCAGCAAGAUCCUAUCUCUUUAGCUGUCGAAAUGGCUGCAGUCAAUCACACCAUCCUGGCAUUAGCCAGACAAGGGGGGAGUGAAAUAAAGAGAGAGGUGAUUGAAGAUGACUGAAGCAUUGUUGGGAAGGACUGAGAUUUGGUACAUCAUUGGACUGCCCUAUCUUUAAUGUAAUCUCAAUAUUUGUGUUUUGUUUUGAAACUAGUUAAUAGGGUUCUCUUCAUCCAGAUUGCAGUAAACUAUCAGGAAGUGACUUGGACAAAAGUUGUACCUCUCACCCAGAAGUCCUCCAUUUUCCUGGUCAAAGCUGCACCUCUGCACUUACCGUCCAUCUGUAAACAUUCCUAAGGAUGCAGUGCACAAGCAUGAAGUAUUCCUGAGUGCAGCAUUCCGGGCGAUAUGUACUGACCAGCCUGUAACCUCAAAAGAAUGCUUCUCAAACCUUUGUUGUAGGUUUGAAGGGCUCUUCCCACUACUCUUGUUUAAGUUGAAGCUUAAAGUAGUCCUGCAAACAGAACCCUGCCUCGGAUGUCUGGCCUUGACUGAUUCUUCCUACCAUGGUUUCGACCUGUAACAUCAAACUUUCCCACUUUAAAGUGCACUUUCCUGGGCUGAGUCGCCGAGGUUUGCUGAUUAUCUGACCUUGAUUUUCGCUACCUGUGAUGGUUUGGGAAAUGAAAAAUGCUGAUUUGUUCAGAAUUACAGACAAGAUGUUUCUCCUGUUGGAUUGUUGCUAACGAAUACUAGAACUGGAUAUCGCCAAGUUGUUCAGAGGUUCAUGGCAGAUACAAAAGCAUUCCAGUGGCAACCUUUUCAUGCUAAUUGGGGUCACCAAAAAUUACAGACAGUUAGGACAUCUGUUAGGAGCCGUUGGUUUGGACAGGUGCAGGCAGUUGCUUGGAUAUGAAGUCUUUAUUGAACUGGGCAUUGCUGUAACAAGAGUGUCAGUAGCGCCUUUAAUGUACUAACGUGACUGACUCAAGUGAAGUUCAAGCAUGAACCUGGUGGAACAUCUGAUUUGAUUGGAUUUGUUGUAAGAGUCUGAUUGCACAUGUAGCCCGGGAGAUUGUCCUACAUGUUGCACACGGAGAAUGUACCCACAACAACUGACAAACCUGAUUGACUUGCUCGAAUGUUCUCAAUUGAACUCUUCUGCAGUAGACUGAUGGGAAUAUCCCCGUUGCCACUGUGCCAUUAAUGAGCUCUUUUGCAUUACACAGGGGUCCAUAUUUAACUCCAGUUCCUACAUGGGCCAAAAAAAAUUCUGAAGGGACAUUGUGUCUGUCAUGUUUUAUUUCUGUGCAGUUUUAAUAGUAAUCAGAGGCAAGUUAAAGCUAUUACUUUGUGUAUAGUAUUUCAUUAUGCAAUGCCCAUGUGAAUGUGAAACAAAGAUAUUCCACAUGCAGAAGCUUCCACUUGUAUGACAACAGAAAACACUGGAGAUACAGCCCAACCAGAUGAGUAUCUGUGCAGAGAGAACCAGGGUUAAAGUUACAGAUUGAUGACCUUGCUGCAGAACUGGAAAACGAUGUAACAAGUUUCUAGUAAUGUUGGGAUGGAAGGAAGGGACAAACACUACAUGAGAACUCCUUGUUUACUUCCACGGGAAGUUUAGCACAAAGGAGUCUGAUCCUGGAUAACUUUGCAAUGUAAGCUGGUAGGAGGAUUAUAGUUGAGGACCUUGUCAGACUGACUGUCUUAUAGUUCAAUAGCCUCAGGUAUAGGUUGUCUGUGCUGCACAAUUGAGAAAGAGUGAAUGUGAGGAACUGAAGACAAAUGGAACCUUUUCCAACAAGCUUCAUCUUCAAGAGAGGAACUGAGAAGGGAACAAAUAUACCCUGGGAGAUGAGGCACAAUUAUCCAUCCGUGUGCACUAGUAAAAGUUUGGCAUUUCCAAUGGAUUUUAUUUCAUUCUGGCUUGAUGUCAAACUCAAAUUAUGCUCCAGUAAGGAACAUGAGGUAAAAGUGGAUAUGUUUGGGUUAUUACAGUGGAUGCACUGCCCAGUUGCAUUUGCAAUUGUGUUAUUUUACAUUCCUGCUCCUGUCUGAUUUCAUCCUUAGAAUCUAGUGUAUGGGUUAGAAACCCAGUUGAUCCUAGCUCAUCUGAAGUCCCAGUGUAGAUUUCCACACUGUCCUAUUCCUUGGUAACUUUUGCUAUCCAUUUUUUGGCUGACUUGUUGGUCAUAAAAUCAGUUGCGAUUGUCACAGUUACAAUCGUCAAUCUACAGUCCUGGCUUCCUUAGUCUCCCCUGACAACCAAUACUCCUUUUGUAUAGAAUAGUUACAAUGCAGGAGAUGGUCAUUCGGUCUGUUGUAUUCAUGCUGGCUCUCUGUAAGAACAACUCAACUGGUUUCCCUGCCCUUUCCUUUCCUUGAUGGACUUUUUUUUUUAAGUUUUGCUUAUCCUAUUCCCUUUUGAAAUCUUGAAUGUGACUCCAUCAUACACUCAGGCAGUGCAUUCCACAUCCUAAUCACUUGCUACAUUUUUUUUCUCAUAUCUUUAGUUCUUUUUCUCAUUCACCAUAUAUCAGUCUUUGAUCCUGUCACCAAUGGUACCAGUUUCUCUCCUUUCUGAAGACACUAGACCUCUGUCAACUCUCUUCACACCAUUGUCUUUGUAGAAGGCUGUUCUCAGCAAACUUGAAGAUCUGUCAUCCCUGAAAGCAUUAUCAAAUCUUUUCCAAAUUCUCCCCAAAGCCUUCAUUUCCUUCCAAAGGUAUGGUACCAGAGUUGGACAAAAUAUUGCAGUUGAGAUUUAAGGUGUUUUAUAAAGGUUCAACAUAGUUUACUUGUUUUUGUACUGUAUACCUAUAUUUAUAAAGUCUAAGAUCUGCUAUGUCUUUUUAAUUGCUUAGCAACAAACUCUGCCACCGUCAAUACUGUGCAUGCAUGUACCCCCAGGUUUUCUGCUCCUGCCUCCUCUCUACAAGCAGCCAUGUUAUAUUUUAUAAAAAAAAGUGUUCAGGUUGGUGGCAACACAGACUAUCUCACAAGACCUGUUUUCACAUCCCACUUUCUGCCUAGAGUUCGUCAAAGUGACUGUGUACUUCUGUCCAAUGUGGUUAAGUACAGUUUGGAACAAUGAUCCCAUAAUGACAUGUUUGACUCAAGAUCCUUUGUCACAGUGACCGGGGAUGGGCAGAAAAUUUUGGCCAUGCCCACAUCUUGCAAAGACCAUUGAAAAGAUAAGCUGCUUUAUACAAUGGUCGGGCAAAUAGAGACUGUGCUUCCUUGAUUUGAUGUAAUUUGUAUGCCAGGGCUUGGGCCAUUCAGUGAGAGCUGCUGAAUGUAAUUAAUCAUCCACGGAGAAUGAGUGAUAAAAAAUAUUAACAGGAGCUGGUAUUUUCUGUGACCUCAAAUUUAGUUGAUGGAUCAAGGAACAUCAGAAUUCCAAUCCAGGAUCUGGCUAGUAGGGCAAGUAGUACAACUGCAUGCUACAAAUUAUGGCAUUUAAUGCAUGCAGUGUGAGCUGCCAUUUGAAUGCCAGAAUUUGCAUGAGAAAGCGCUGGGAGGAAAUGAACCUAGCAAUCUCAAAAUGAUGAAUCCCUGCUUCAAUAAUCAUAUACCAUUAUCAAUUGUUAUUAUGUAACAUAGUGGGCAUAUUAGUUUGGAGCAUCACUCCCAGGGAUAAUAGAAAUAAUGAUUUAAGUAAUAGAUUCACCUUAGUUUUAUAUUUACUACAGUUUUCCUGGCUGAUCAGUUCAGCUAUCAAAGUAAGUGUUUAUUUCCCAUGCACCCUUUGAGCUAAUGCUGCCAAACCUGUAAAUAACAUGUGGAAUAGACACUACUCAUUUAUGGUUUCAUUUGUCUUGUAAUAAGUGAUGUAUUUUUCUGCUAAGCAGAAAGGGAAUAUUCUUUAGCGUAAACGAAGGAUUCAGGUUGAUAUAAUCCUUCCCUGUGUUAGAUGUUGUAUUUGCUAAUUUAGCAGCUGUUCUUGUAUUUGUAAUACAAUUCCACCACCUCCCCUAAUACAGGCCUCAAAUGUUGUUCACCCAGCAAGAUUCUUGCAAAAUUAGUUUUCUGUUACUUAUCAUUUUGCACAGGAGACACUGGACAAUGUGUUAGUGCUCUAAGACACCAUUUUAAUGAGCCAUGUUCUUGACUUAAGACACACUGGAUUUUUAUGAACAGUAAUAAACAGAUUUUCAUGAAUUAGAUCCCCAAAAGAGCUUCCCUUUCUAAGAGAUAAGUACAAAGUACUGUUCCAGAAAUUGGCCAGUAUUAAUUGUAGAUGUUAUUCUGGAGGAGAUUCUGGAGGAGAGCACUUUCACAACCCACUUCAACAUAAGAAGCAUUUGUAUUCGUAGUUGGAGUGUUAAAACAACAACUGUUCAUUUCCAGUUAGGAUUGUUGGACAAACAACUCCUACCCUUUUGGUUUCUCCAUAGUUCUGAGAAACAUUGGAUCAUGAAACUGAAAUAGAAUGGGGUAGAUCCAAUUUCAGAAACUGGUGUGGGAAUAUCAGCAAAGUACUCCGAGUACUUGGUUCCCCUUUAAUAACAGAUAUAAAAUCAACCAAUCAAUUUCUCCCGAUUAUUGUGAAAAACAAAACUGGCCGGAGAUUGGGGAAACGAUGCAGAAAAAGAUUAGAUAUCAUAACUUGGAAUCACAGAAACUUAAUGUUUAUUGUGUCAGCCAGCCUUUUGUAGGAUUAGUUUGUGCAGCCCUGUCUAUGUCUCUGCUUCAACCAUUAGUAAAUACGAAAAAUAUUCAGUGAGAGAGAAAGCAUUUUAUCCUCUGCUGUUCUGGUAGUUUUAGUUAGGUGGGGUAUGGGGAAAAACAGCAAAUGCUGACCAAUCAAAUUGUAUAGGCAUGUAUGUUUCUGGCCCUACUUCAGCAUUGUGGUCUCGGAUGAAAUUAUUUUUAAAAAUAAGUUAUGAUCACUCUUCUGUUCCAAAAUCAUAUGUUUCACCAUAUCUUAAGUCAUUCAUUGAAAAAGAAAACGACACUGUCCUGCCCACCCCAUUGCUUCCAUCAAUCAACAGACAAGGAAACCUGCUCCUCAUACUCAGGGCAACUAAAUUAGGAGAGGCAGCUUUCCCAACAACUCCUGCACAUCACCACCUUCCCGUUCGUAGCAGUGAGUAUAGUCAGAACCACCCAAGCCUGAGAUUAUAUUUGAAUGCAGAUUCACACUCGGACUAGACUGUUGUUCCAUUGCUGCUGGGACCUAUUUCUCAACUUUUUAAGCAAUGGGGACAGUGAGAGAUGUCAGCAAGCUGUCCUUAAGGCAGACUAUAUACUCAUAGACUGCCAUUGUGAUUCUACUUUUUUUUUGGAAGUGUCAUUGUUUAUAAUGGGUCUCUCUUCACUCCAAAACAAUGGAGGAAAUGUCAGAUUACAUCCCACUGCUGCUUAUUCAGCUGUACAGGUGCGAACUCUGGAAAUGACAACCACUGAGCAUCGGCUGUGGAGGAAAUGAAUGCUUGUGGAUGUAGUGCCAAUCAAGUGGGCUGCUUUGUCCUGGAUGGUGUCAAGCUUCUUGAAUGUUGUUGGGGCUGCACUCAUCCAGGCAAAUGGGGAGUAUUCCAUCACACUCCUGACUUGUGCCUUGUAGAUGGUCAACAGGCUUUCAGGAGUCAGGAGGUGAGUUACUCACUGCAGUAUUCCUAGCUUCUGGCCUGCUCUUGUAGCCUCUGUGUUAAUGUGGUGAGUCCAGUUGAGUCUCUAGUCAAUGAUAACAUCCAGGAUGUUGAUAUUGGAGAAUUCAGUGAUGAUAACAUUGAAUUUCAAGGGUCGGUGGUUAGAUUGUCUCUUAUUGGUGAUGGUCAUAGCCUGGCAUUUGUGUGGCACGAAUGUUACUUGCCACUUGUCAUCCUAAGCCUGGAUAUUGUCCAGAUCUUGUUGCAUUUGAACAUGGACUGCUUCAGAAUCUGAGGAGUCAUGAAUGGUGCUGAACAUUGUGCAAUCAUCAGCGAACAUCCCCACUUCUGACCUGAUGAUGGAGGGAAGGUAAACAGCUGAAGAUGGUUGUGCCUAGGACACUACCCUGAGGAAUUUCUGCAGAGAUGUCUGGGAGCUGAGAUGAUUGACCUCCAACAACCACAACCAUCUUCCUACCUGUAAGGUAUUACUACACCCACUGGAGAGUUUGCCCUGAAAUCUAUUAAUUCCAGUUUUGCCAGGGCUUCUCGAUGCCACACUGUCGAAUGCAGCCUUGCCAUCAAGGGAUGUCACUCUCACCUCUCCUCUGGAAUUCAGCUCUUUUGUCCAUGUUUGAAACAAGACUGUAAUGUGGCUCUGGCAGAACCCAAACUGGGUGUCGCUGAGCAGGUGCUCUUUGAUAGUACUGUUGAUGACACCUUCCAUCAUUUUACUGAUGAUCAAAAGUAGACUGAUGGGACAGUAAUUGGCCAGGUUGGAUUUGUCCUAGUUUUUGUGUACAGGACAUACUUGGGCAAUUUUUCACAUUGUUGGGUAGAUACCAGUGUUGUGACUGUAUUGGAACAGCUUGGCUAGGGGAGUGGCAAGUUCAGUUGUAUGGAGUACAGUUAGUCAGUACUAUUGCUGGAAUGUUGUCAGGACCGGUAGCCUUUGCAGUAUCCAAGUGUCUCCAACCGUUUAUUGAUAUCACGUGGAGUGAAUCGAACUGGCUGAAGACUGGUAUCCGUAAUGCUGGGGACCACUGGAGGAGGCCGAGGUAGAGCAGACGCUCAAUACUUCUGCCUUAUCUUUUGCACUGAUGUGCUGGGCUCUUCCAUCAUCGAGGAUGGGGAUAUUUGUGGAGCCACCUCCUCCAGUGAGUUGUUUAAUUGUCCACCACCAUUCACAACUGGAUGUGGCAGGACUGCAGAGCUUAGAUCUGAUCCAUUGUUUGUGGGAUCGGUUAGCCAUGUCUAUCACUUGCUGCUUUCGCUGUUUGGUGGCUUCACCAGGUUGAUACCUCAUCUUCAGGUAUGCCUGGUGCUGCUCCUGGUAUGCCCUCCUGCACUCUCCAUUGAACCAGGGUUGAUCCCCUGGCUUGAUGGUAAUGGUUUGAGUGGAGGAUAUGCCAGACUGAGGUUACAGAUUGUGCUAGUGUACAAUUUUGCUGCUGUUGAUGGCCCACAGCACCUCUUGGCUGCCCAGUCUUAAGUUGCGAGAUCUGGGCAAAGUCUGUCCCAUUUAGCACGGUGAUAGUACCACACAACACAAUGAAAGUUAUUCUUAAUGUGAAGGCGGGACUUCAUCUCCACAAGGACUGUGUGAUGGUCAAUCUUACAUCUGUCAUGACAGUAUUGGUAACUGCAGCUGGCAGAUUACUAAGAAUAAGAUCAGAUAUGUUUUUCCCUCUUGUUGGUUCCCUCACCACCUGUCACAGACCCAGUCUAGCAGCUAUGUCCUUUAGGACCCGACCGGCUCGAACAGUAGUACUGUUGCUGAGCCACUCUUGGUGGUGGACAUUGAAAUCCCCCACCCAGAGUACAUUUUGUGCUCUUUGCCAUCCUCGGUGCUUCCUCUAAGUGUUGUUCAACAUUGAGGAGUACUGAUUUGUCAGCUGAGGGAGGACGGUAUGUGGUAAUCAGCAGGAGGUUUCCUUGCCCAUGUUUAACUGAAGCCAUGAGACUUCAUGGGGUCCGGAGUCAAUGUUGAGGACUCCUACAGCAACACCCUCCCAACUGUAUACCACUGUGCUGCCACCUCUACUGAGUCUGUCCUACUGGUGGGACAGGACUUAUCCAGGGAUGGCGAUGGUGUCUGCAACAGUCAUACUCAGAAUCAUAUCUUACAGACUAGUCUCUGAGACAGCUCUCCCAAUUUUGGCACUAACCCCCAGAUGUUAGUGAGGAGGACUUUGCAGGGUCAACAGGGCUGUUUCUGCUGUUGUCUUUUCCAGUGCAGUGUGUACGAUCUACAAGAUGCACUACAGAAAUUCACCAAAGAUCCCCAGACAAUACCUUCCAAACCCACGACCACUUCCAUCUAGAAGGACAAGGGCAGCAGACAUUGGGAACACCACUACCUGCAAGUUCCCUUUCAAGCCACUCACCAUCCUGAUUUGGAAAUAUAUCACCGUUCCUUUGCUGGCAUUCCCUCCCUAAUAGCAUUGUGGGUCAAUGUACAGCAGGAGGACUGCAGUAAUUCAAGAAGGCAGCUCACCACCAACUUCUCAAGGGCAACUAGGAACUGACACCCACAUCUCACAAAUGAAUAUGAAAAAACUGAGUUUAUAAAAUUAUGCAUGUUUCAAAUAAACUGCCAAGUUUUCAUGACAAAUUUAUUCCAGAAUGCACAUCUUUUUUCUUUAAAGUGUAAAAUAAUUCAUGAGUUUGCAGGGGAGCAAUUUAAGUAUGACUUUGACAAAUAGGGAACACGUGGCUAUUCACUACUACUCUACCCUUUGGAGUUUAGAAGAUCUAGAUAUCAUCUUAUUGAAAUGUACAAGAUUCUGAGUGGGGGAUUUGAUGGGUAAAUUCUGACAGAAUGCAUCCCUCAGGUGAGAGACCAGAACUAAGUGACAGAAUUUCAAAUUAUGACAUCUCCCGUGUAAGACAGAGGGGGAGGAAGAAUUUUCUAAGGGGCAUGAAGUUCUUUGGCAUUCUGUCAUUGAUAACAGUGGAGGCUGGAUCAUUGACUCAUUUGUCAAUCAAAAAUCAGGCUGCACCUCCAUAUUCAAAAGUCACAGGGUAGGUAACAAAGCGGAGGUCAGGCCACAAUCGUAUCAGUCAUCCAUGAUCUUACCAGAGCAGGCUCAAGGGGCCAAAUAGCCCACUGCUGCUCCUAUUCAGUUUAUUCUAGUAUACUUCCAAUUCUGAUUGCCUUUCAAAGCCUUGCUCUGGAAUUUGGUUUUUGUUCUCCCCACCACCCCCCCCAAACUUCUCACAGCCAGGUUGGAAGAGAUGCACAAUGCUAGUUAUGAAUAAAAACUCACAUUCCAGGUUUGUUUUGGGUGAGUGGAAGGAAUGAUGCAGGAAAUGGGGCAGUUCUGCACUGAAAUAACCUAUUGAUUUCCAAACUGGAAGGUGGACAGAAUAAUCUUAAAGCCUUAGACUACUUUUUCAAAUAACUAUAUACAAAGCAGCAGAAGAUGUAUUUUCAUUUGAGUUCUGGAUUAGUGCCUUUUUUGGACAGUAGACUGUUCUGCAAAAAAUGUUAUGCUUUUUGUACAGUUGUUUUAAGAAAUUAUUUUUUAAAAUUUGUGUUAAAUCUCUGUAUUGUAUAAGUAGGAAAAAAUAAACUAUACAUUGUGCUGCA